rnacentral:rRNA from 1 species
UGGGGAAUAUUGCACAAUGGGCGAAAGCCUGAUGCAGCAACGCCGCGUGAGUGAUGAAGGUCUUCGGAUUGUAAAGCUCUGUCUUUUGGGACGAUAAUGACGGUACCAAAGGAGGAAGCCACGGCUAACUACGUGCCAGCAGCCGCGGUAAUACGUAGGUGGCGAGCGUUGUCCGGAUUUACUGGGCGUAAAGGGUGCGUAGGCGGAUGUUUAAGUGAGAUGUGAAAUACCCGGGCUUAACUUGGGUGCUGCAUUUCAAACUGGAUAUCUAGAGUGCAGGAGAGGAGAAUGGAAUUCCUAGUGUAGCGGUGAGUGCGUAGAGAUUAGGAAGAACACCAGUGGCGAAGGCGAUUCUCUGGACUGUAACUGACGCUGAGGCACGAAAGCGUGGGUAGCAAACAGGAUUAGAUACCCUGGUAGUCCACGCCGUAAACGAUGAGUACUAGGUGUAGGAGGUAUCGACCCCUUCUGUGCCGCAGUAAACACAUUAAGUACUCCGCCUGGGAAGUACGAUCGCAAGAUUAAAAAC